ACCCGGUGGAUAAAAUCGAGUUCCAACCUCUUCAACGACAACGAUUUCAACACUCUCUUCCAGGAACAACUUCCUCCAGGCAGAUGAUACUAAAGUGCUGGAGUUCCCGGUUCCUGAGAGUGAGUCCAUAUCAAAAUGCGCAUUCGUUAUCACUUGGUUGAACCCAUUUGGGGAUUUAAAUUUGGAGGUGAAAUGGAACGCGUAAUUGAUGACUCCUACGUGGAACCUCUUCUUAGGAAGAGCACGGUCGAAGAAGUAACUGCGCAGUGCUUAAAUCGUAGAUGCUAAAGUCGUUGAAGAGGACUUGGAACUUCGAUAUUAUCCCCCGUGU